GAACUGGUCGCGUCCGGACGCGCGACAGCUUCCACCCGCCUUAGGCAGUAUCAGCCGCGCCGCAGUCGGAGGAAACAGACGCGGGGCCUGAGGCUCCUGGACUUGAGCCUGUUACCCUCUGCGAGCCUCAACUUCUCUAUGUGUAACAAAUGGCCAACUUUAUGGGAUUGUCAAGAAGCUGAAAUGAGACCCUGGCUGGAGGAUAUUUUAUGGACUAUAAAUUCCUAAACAAUUAUAAUAACUUAGUUAUUUAUCCUAUCCAUGGAUCACCUGGAAGUUUACAAUGUGAUUUAAAAUGCAUUCUAUCAUUCCACCGACCUGCAGUGAAUUUUGUUGUCGUUAUUACUCCAGGUAUACCUAAAGGGGAAGUUUGUUUAUAAUUCGUACCCACUCCUUGUAGAAAGGAUUCAAGACAGCCGAUGAUGAAAACACCCAUGCUUGCAAGUGAAGGUUCUGCCUGUCACUUCUCGCAGAGGCUGCAGAAAAGGCCCAGGAGGCUGUUGAUGACAUGAACGACCACCAGGAGAAGCUGGAGCAGGCUGAUGCACAGAAGGGCGGAGAAGAGGGACACGUGCCAGACAACAGCUGCAGAGGGCUCCAGGCAGAUGGAGUUCCAGAGCGAACGGUCAUACAGAUAAUUCCUGUCCCAAAAAAUAAGGAGACCAGGGGUCAGGCGAUAAGUAAGGAAAGCCAAACAGGCAACCCCAGUAGAAAACUGGGGUCUCCCCUGACCGGGUCAUGGGACUGGGCUCAUGAGGGUGACCGUUACUGCUCCAUUUGCAAUUUUCUGAGUAUCAGAGGAGCAAGAUGCUAGGAUGUGUGACCCAAAGGAGCUUGCAGUUCGUCUGUGUGUCUUUUUGUCUCUCUCUCUGUCUGAAAAGACCAAGCCCAAGCCUCCACCCAUUUACCUACUAUGCAGGUCUUUGAAUGGGUAACCAUAUUUCCAAGCUUGUGUCUGAUUGAAGGAUGAAACAUCAAACAUGCAAAAAGGACCAUCUUUCAGAGCAACUCCAGAAGUGACAAAGCAAAUCAGGGCUCCAAGUAAAGCCAGGCCACCUGACAACAGAGCAAUGAAAGCCUGAAACUGGAAAGAUGAAGCAACUUGCCCAAGAACUUAGCGUUACUGAGGGUUACAGUGAGGACCUGACUUCAGGC